rnacentral:rRNA from 1 species
CCUACGGGAGGCUGCAGUGGGGAAUUUUGGACAAUGGGCGAAAGCCUGAUCCAGCAAUGCCGCGUGUGUGAUGAAGGCCUUCGGGUUGUAAAGCACUUUUGGCGGGAACGAAAAGGACCGUGCCAAUACCAUGGUCUGAUGACGGUACCCGCAGAAUAAGCACCGGCUAACUACGUGCCAGCAGCCGCGGUAAUACGUAGGGUGCAAGCGUUAAUCGGAAUUACUGGGCGUAAAGAGUGCGCAGGCGGUUUUGCAAGACCGAUGUGAAAUCCCCGGGCUUAACCUGGGAACUGCAUUGGUGACUGCAAGGCUAGAGUGUGUCAGAGGGAGGUGGAAUUCCGCAUGUAGCAGUGAAAUGCGUAGAUAUGCGGAGGAACACCGAUGGCGAAGGCAGCCUCCUGGGAUAACACUGACGCUCAUGCACGAAAGCGUGGGGAGCAAACAGGAUUAGAUACCCUGGUAGUC